CUAUCAGCUCAAACACUUCUUCUCUUUUCUUUUCUAUAUUCUUUCUCUUACACUCUGUUUUUUUCUUUUUUAUAAUCUUCUUCAAUACUCUCUUUCCUCUUUCCUCAGAUCUGUGUCAGAUUAUAUGACUACAAGAUGUCACAGAUGACACAGCUCUUCUCUCAUUAUUUUUUUAUAUAUUUCAUUUCAGAAUAUAGACUUUCUUUUUUUUUCUUUCAUUUAUCUUAUCUCUCUUUCUUCUAUGAUAUAAGAAGUACAGACAGUUUUCUGACAAACUGAAAGAGAUGUUUCUUUCUACUCACUGUAAAAUCUUUCAGAAACAGCAGUGGUGGCACUCUAACUCUAAUUAAUAGCACACACAUUGCAGCU
rnacentral:sRNA from 1 species